ACGUGUAAGGUUUGAGAUUUCCAGUGAGCUGUCAGUGAGAUAGCCGGAGGUCCGUGGAGUUUAUCAGCGGCAUGGCUAGCCUCUGGCUAAUGUUAGCUUCAGCUAGCUGUACCGACUGCGAGUAUUAUUUUCCUAGGAUGGCAAAGACAUAUCCCGCCCUACUCUGCCUCUGAUUGGUUUACCCUGACAAACCCUAACUAACCUCUUUCUAUCUAAACCUAACCAGAGCAGGCAAUGAGUACUGGCCAAUCAAAGGGAGAGUAGGGUGGGUCAUGCCUUUGCCAUCCUAGGAAAGGUUUUAAGGCGUACAGACUGAAGCAAAGCGUCAGCAACCUCCUCACCCGCUACUGCUACAACCUCCGGGUACCCAAGUGAUGGCUCAGUGCCUGACAUGCUGCUCCUUCUUUAUAUGAUGCUUAAUUCAAACGAAAAUCACAACUUUGUCAAAAACAGGCUAAUUAUUAAACUGCGCGCCAUUCUGAUUUUAACCGGUUUCAAAUGCGUUUGUUAACUCAACCGAAACCGCAGCUUCAGACAGAUGCCGCAUUCCAUUUCUCGUGAAAAUUAUCUGUAAGGUUAAGUCGAAACAUCUGCUAAUUAUUUUAUUAUAAAGAUUAUCUCCCAAGCUCUGUGUCUGUGUAUUAAUAUCGAGAAGUGUUUACUGACCGGUUCAAGCCAGAAUUAUUAUGGCUUGCUUAAUUGGCUUACCGUGGCAAGUGAGUGCCGGUUAGCAAGCGAGGAUCACUAUUAAUCUUUAAGUUGCUGUUUGGGACUUAUUACAUAAUGUGUAUUCUAAGGCAUGUUUGUAUAUACGUGUCCCUGGAUCAUAUUGAUUACGGCCGCAUUAAUGUGAGCCCCCAACGUGAGAGACUGACAGCUAGAAAGACAUUUGUAUCUCCACGGUGCAUGUCAGACACAUUUUAGCUGUGCUUACUUAAGAAACUUGAAAGAGACAUACUCAACUCUUUGUGUACGUGCACUUAUCUUCUCUGAUAGCUGCGUGAAACUGGUACACUACAUAUUCACACAUUUGUAGGAAAGGAAUUUGCAGUUC